GUCUGCAACUCGAGUGCAUGAAGCUGGAAUCGCUAGUAAUCGCGGAUCAGAAUGCCGCGGUGAAUACGUUCCCGGGUCUUGUACACACCGCCCGUCACACCAUGGGAGUCGGGAAUGCCCGAAGCCGGUGGCCCAAUCUUUAAGAAGGGAGCCGUCGAAGGCAGGUCGGAUGACUGGGGUGAAGUCGUAACAAGGUAGC
rnacentral:rRNA from 1 species